CAGGCCUAACACAUGCAAGUCGAACGCACCUUCGGGUGAGUGGCAGACGGGUGAGUAACGCGUGGGAACCUGCCCUGUGGUACGGAAUAACUCUGGGAAACCGGAGCGAAUAGCGUAUACGCCCUACGGGGGAAAGAUUUAUCGCCAUAGGAUGGGCCCGCGUCAGAUUAGCUUGUUGGUGGGGUAACGGCCUACCAAUGCUACGAUCUGUAGCUGGUCUGAGAGGAUGAUCAGCCACACUGGGACUGAGACACGGCCCAGACUCCUACGGGAGGCAGCAGUGGGGAAUCUUGGACAAUGGGCGAAAGCCUGAUCCAGCCAUGCCGCGUGAGUGAAGAAGGCCCUAGGGUUGUAAAGCUCUUUCAGCGGGGAAGAUAAUGACGGUACCCGCAGAAGAAGCCCCGGCUAACUUCGUGCCAGCAGCCGCGGUAAUACGAAGGGGGCUAGCGUUGUUCGGAAUUACUGGGCGUAAAGCGCGCGUAGGCGGACUGGCCAGUCAGGGGUGAAAGCCCGGGGCUUAACCUCGGAACUGCCCUUGAUACUGCCAGUCUAGAGUCCGGCAGAGGUGAGUGGAAUUCCUAGUGUAGAGGUGAAAUUCGUAGAUAUUAGGAAGAACACCAGUGGCGAAGGCGGCUCACUGGGCCGAGACUGACGCUGAGGCGCGAAAGCGUGGGGAGCAAACAGGAUUAGAUA
rnacentral:rRNA from 1 species